rnacentral:rRNA from 1 species
GUGAACUUAGGGCCCGCGGCGGCGUGAUGGCGAAGGGGGGUUGGGUUGCUCGGAAUCACUGGGCGUAAAGCGGACGUAGGCGGCGUUCUAAGGCAGGGGUGAAAUCCUGGAGCGCAACGCCAGAACUGCCUUUGAUACUGGAGGGCUCGAGUCCGGAAGAGGUGAGUGGAACUGCGAGUGUAGAGGUGAAAUUCGUAGAUAUUCGCAAGAACACCAGUGGCGAAGGCGGCUCAUUGGUCCGGUACUGACGCUGAGGUGCGAAAGCGUGGGGAGCAAACAGGAUUAGAUACCCGUGUAGUC